CCUACGGGAGGCAGCAGUGAGGAAUAUUGGUCAAUGGUCGGGAGACUGAACCAGCCAAGCCGCGUGAGGGAUGAAGGUACAGAGUAUCGUAAACCUCUUUUGUCAGGGCACAAAGGCGGGGACGUGUCCCCGGAUGAGUGUACCUGAAGAAAAAGCCUCGGCUAACUCCGUUCCAGCAGCCGCGGUAAUACGGGGGAUGCGAGCGUUAUCCGGAUUUAUUGGGUUUAAAGGGUGCGCAGGCGGUCUGUUAAGUCAGCGGUAAAAGCCCGGGGCUCAACCCCGGCCCGCCGUUGAAACUGGCAGUCUCGAGUUGGAGAGAAGUAUGCGGAAUGCGCGGUGUAGCGGUGAAAUGCAUAGAUAUCGCGCAGAACUCCGAUUGCGAAGGCAGCAUGCCGGCUCCACACUGACGCUGAGGCACGAAAGCGUGGGUAUCGAACAGGAUUAGAUACCCUGGUAGUC
rnacentral:rRNA from 1 species